rnacentral:rRNA from 1 species
AGUGAACGCUGGCGGCGUGCUUAACACAUGCAAGUCGAACGAGAACGGAUUAUAGCUUGCUAUAAUUGUCAGCUAAGUGGCGCACGGGUGAGUAAUGUAUAGGUAAUAUGCCUCUUACUAAGGGAUAACAAAUGGAAACGUUUGCUAAUACCUUAUACUCCUUAUUAACAGAAGUUAAUAAGGGAAAGAUUUAUUGGUAAGAGAUUAGCCUGUAUUGUAUCAGUUAGUUGGUGGGGUAAUGGCUUACCAAGACUAUGACACAUAACUGGUUUGAGAGGAUGAUCAGUCACACUGGAACUGAGACACGGUCCAGACUCCUACGGGAGGCAGCAGUGGGGAGUAUUGCACAAUGGACGAAAGUCUGAUGCAGCAACGCCGCGUGGAGGAUGACACAUUUCAGUGCGUAAACUCCUUUUAUAUGAGAAGAUAAUGACGGUAUUAUAUGAAUAAGCACCGGCUAACUCCGUGCCAGCCGCCGCUGUAA